CAAGGAAUUUUGCGCAAUGGGCGAAAGCCUGACGCAGCGACGCCGCGUGGGGGAUGAAUGCCUUCGGGUUGUAAACCCCUUUUCCCGGGGAAGAACAAUGACGGUACUCGGGGAAUAAGUCUUGGCUAACUACGUGCCAGCAGCCGCGGUAAUACGUAGAAGGCAAACGUUAUUCGGAUUUACUGGGCGUAAAGCGGGUGUAGACGGCUCCUUAAGUCAGGUGUGAAAUCUCCCAACUCAAUUGGGAGGAGUCAUUUGAUACUAGGGAACUUGAGGGCAGCAGAGGAAGGUGGAAUUCCCGGUGUAGCGGUGAUAUGCGUAGAUAUCGGGAGGAACACCAGUGGCGAAGGCGGCCUUCUAGGCUGUUCCUGACGUUGAGACCCGAAAGCGUGGGGAGCGAAACGGAUUAGAUACCCGUGUAGUCCACGCCCUAAACUUUGGACACUAGGUAUGGGGGGUAUCGACCCUCUCCGUGCCGAAGUUAACGCUUUAAGUGUCCCGCCUGGGGACUACGGCCGCAAGGCUA
rnacentral:rRNA from 1 species